rnacentral:rRNA from 1 species
GAUGAACGCUGGCGGCGCGCCUAACACAUGCAAGUCGAACGGCACCUAUCUUCGGAUAGAAGCGAGUGGCGAACGGCUGAGUAACACGUGGAGAGCCUGCCCCCUCCCCCGGGAUAGCCGCCCGAAAGGACGGGUAAUACCGGAUACCCCCGGGCGCCGCAUGGCGCCCGGGCUAAAGCCCCGACGGGAGGGGAUGGCUCCGCGGCCCAUCAGGUAGACGGCGGGGUGACGGCCCACCGUGCCGACAACGGGUAGCCGGGUUGAGAGACCGACCGGCCAGAUUGGGACUGAGACACGGCCCAGACUCCUACGGGAGGCAGCAGUGGGGAAUCUUGCGCAAUGGGGGGAACCCUGACGCAGCGACGCCGCGUGCGGGACGGAGGCCUUCGGGUCGUAAACCGCUU